AUGGAUCUUCUCCAGUUUGUGCUCAACUUUAAAGGCACACCACCAUGGCUGAACUCGACGGCCAUUACCGCCCUUACGGACCGUUGGAGGCCGGAGACGCACUCUUUUCACCUUGCUCUUGGUGAGAUGACCGUCACUUUGGAGGAUAUUGCGAUGAUCUCCGGUCUUUCGAUCGAGGGCAGGGCUCUUACCGGGAAGGUAAAGUCCGAGGGGUGGCGACAAAGGGUUGCAGGUUUGGUUGGUGUUGAACCUCCCCCGUGGAUUCAUGAAACAAAGAAGGAUCCUAGGCCAUCUGGUGUUUUGUUCUCAUGGCUACAAGAACAUUUUUACGAGUGCCCAGAGAAUGCUAGUCCGGCUGUUGUGGAGAGGUAUGCCAUGGCUUACUUAUGGAAUCUUUUGACCCAAGUGGUGUUUCCUGAUGGCACCGGAGACACAACCUCGUGGAUGUUCUUGGACCCUCUUCGUAACUGGGAUGUUAAGUGGAGUUGGGGGUCGGCGGCACUAGCCUUCUUGUACCGUCAGUUGGACGGAGCAUGUAUGAGGAGUGAGCCGAAAUCUUGUCUUGGUGGUUUUGUUUGGGCCCUACAGAUUUGGAUGUGGGAGCGUAUCCCUGUGGGUCGUAACUUGACCAUUGCUCCGGAAGAACCCUGGGAGUGGCCUUUUGACGGGGAUGAGGAGCGGUAUCCCACUAUCGCAUACACGUGGGCUAAUGUCCAAGUGUCUAGUAUCGCAGCCAUGGGGCGGUACAAGGCAUACAUAAGCGAGCUCGACAUGCUUACUUACAACCAGAUGUUGUGA
rnacentral:rRNA from 1 species